AGUCUUACCCACUCCAAAGUACACCGGAGGUAAAUCCACUAUAACGCCAGACAGUCAAUGUAAAUGUCUGUUGAUAGAAUAAUGUUAGAAAUAUAACCAACCUUGCAUUGCAUUGCAUUUUGAGGGACUUGCUGUGUCUCAGCAGCAGUGUUAUAUUCCUGGUAGUAGGCUAGGGCAGUGGCGGACUUAUACCUAUGGUUAAAUUCCGCUGCUUCUGAGAAAGUAGUCCCCUAGAAUGUAAAGAUUCAUGCGAUGCAAGGUUAGUUUUAUUUCUUACCUUAUUCUAUCAACACAGGCAUUUACAUCUAUAGCCUGGUGUUAUAAUUGAUUUACCUCGGGUGUACUUUGGAGUUGGUAAGACUGUUUUAUUAGCAGGCUAGUAUUGCCCGUUGCCGUGCGCUAGCCUAGCACGAGCGAACUCGGCAACUAGAAGGACUGAAUGAAAUGUGUUAAACUGUCGACAAUGAUAAAGAACACCAAGGCUAACUUGGGAAUCGGGCCCUAUGUCCAAAACCCCGAACUACCCCUUUAAGCUUUUAAAAGAAACACUCCAAUUUUCAAAUACAUAUUCAAUGGAAGAGGUCAUACUUUGAACUCUGCUAUUUGGAUCUAUCCCCCAUGUAAGUGCUCCUAAUGGCAAAAGCAACAAUUCCUAAGCAGAGGUUUAAAUUUAUUACAUUUAUUUGCAGAAAGAUGGAGUUAACAUCUCAGUUUUGUCAGGGCCUUCAUAAACAGACAGUGGUCCCCGUUGUCUUGUUAAAACACAAUGGAAGGACUGUUUUGUGUGACCUGUCUGAGGGGCAACCCCAUGGUUGUGUUGUUCUUAUCGCUGCAAAAAACCAUAGCACAAACUCAUGCAGACUUGGCUAGUCCACCCUUGCUCCUAUGUGUGUGUGCGCUUGCAUGCAUAAUCACACAAACACACAUUCCUUGAUCCCUGCUCUAGAGUAUAGACAUGUUAAAUGUUGAGUAGGCGUCUUCCUUCUGCAAAUCACCACAGAAGCCCCCUUGGGGACCACUAACAAGCAUUAGCUGCUAGCCUGCCUCUGGAAACUGAAGUCUGAAUGAGACUGCAAGCCGCUUCCUUUAUUUCUAUUGGCCUAUAACAUAACCUAGCUAAUGCUGCUCUGGAGAAGGUACUUAUUCACUAUCAUGACCUCACUUUUUUGAAGAUCCAUUCCGUCCUUUACUUGAGGGGCCAGUCUGUGAAGGUUAUCAAAUGCGGAUGAUCCACUUGUAGUGGGCCUAAUGGGUUCCGUUUUACGGCCCACAACAUCAUUAUGAAAAGUGUCCUUACGUUUGUUUACGUUUGACUUCUGAUUUAUAUUUCUAGUUUCUAUCGGUUUCUAUUUAUCGAAAGCAAAAUCGUUAAUUAUUUUGUCAAUAUAAAUUAUUUUAAUUAUUAAGGAUUUUUCUUAAAUCCCUGCUUCCGUUUGAAGUGCCUUGAUCACUAGUAUCACUUCUAAAUCAUCUGGAUACAUGCGUGUAUGUGAUUUCAAGAGCUAAGAGAGGUGAAUUGAAGUAACGUUUAUUUUCUUCCCACAGCAAGGGUACUAGGGGUCAACAAGAUUUGCCUAUUUGCCUAGGGGAGUUUAUCACUGUACAUGAAAACAAUGUCAUGGGUCAAGUGAUACACUGUACUUCUAUUGAACAGACAUCAUGAACAGACAUGCCAUUCUCUUCAGUGCAGCUACAGAAAUUAGGUCGUUCUGACACAUCGUGUGUGCGUUUUAACAAUCUGUGUAUGCAGGGAAACGAUAAACUGACGAUUGAUUGUCAAGUGCAUUUGAAUUGCUGCAGAGAUAUCUAUUUUUCCACAUGAAUGUAAUUUUCUAUUGCUACGAUUCUAUCCUUUGCUAUUGAUUAUGAAAUAAAGACAAACUUGAAUUUGA
ensembl:lncRNA